UGCUAAGCGCGCAGCGCUAUACACCCUUGAACCACUACGGAACUGCCGAGGCCUCUCGAUAUCUGGGCGCUGACGCAUUCCCAAGCCGUCCGCUAUCUUGGUCGUCGUGGCAACCGCGAUACGACAUGGAAACAGUUCUGCCUUUUCCGCCGCCACCGAGCAACGCCUGCCAACAGAUCACAGCAGCAGACCUACCGUUUGGCGGUCACUGAAACCAUAAUGGUGGAGUGUCGGAAUCCGGGUUGCCGAGGCAAGCCCGUACCUAAGGUCGGUAAAAGCAUGGCGUUUUGUCCAGCCUGCCGCUUACCAAACUGUCUAGAAUGCGACGCAAUCCAUGAUGGAAUGUCGUGCAAGGCAUACAAGAGGAGCAUUGGCGCUGACGACUCGCCAGCGGCCAGCCGAGGGGGCCAGACACCGCAGACCCGAAGAGACACCUCCCCACGUCCGUCAACUUCUGCAGCGACCUCAGGGACAUCGCAGAAGAAAACAGCGGCACCUGUUAUGGCUAAUGAAGACAGUUCUGAAGUGUUAGUUUACUGCAAGGUCACUGACUGUGAAGGCGUUGGCUUCGUGGGAAAGGAUGACACCAUGUUCCGUUGCAUCGUUUGUAGCCACUUCACCUGCGUGAAAUGCUCGGCUUUCCACGAAUCUAUGACAUGCGCAGAGUAUCAGAAGAACAAGGACAACGUGGUAGUGCCCGUAUACAAGCCUACUGGAUUGCCUGAGGAAGACAAUGGGGAGUCCGAGGCGGAAGAGCCCGAAGUGCUCGAAGCCGACGAUGAUGCGGAGCGUGUGAUCGUAGACUGCCGUCAUAACGGUUGUAAGGGCUACUCAUACGUGGUCAAGACAGCAACUACGGCUCAGUGCGAGAUGUGCAAGCACUGGACUUGCGUGGCAUGCAAGGCCUGUCACGAAUCGCAAACCUGCGCUCAGCACCUAGGAAUUGAACUUCCAACAGAACCACCGGUGCCGAGCAGCGCAUUCCAGCUAUUUCCGAGUAGCCAGAAGCAAAUACAGAAGCCAAGAGCUGGCGCUGGGAGCAGUGAAGGUCCCGGGGCUUACAUUUGGGAACGCGCGACUGAAAUAAGAGUGAGAAACAUGGCCCGACAGCUGUUCCGUGGUGGUAAAUCUGAUGACAUGGAGGACGAGCCAGCGGGUGCAGUGGCUGCACCUCGGGGUUACGAAAACAGCACAAGAGUUCAGGAAAACGCUUGUGAUGCUUGCAACUGCACCAAACCUGAUCACGUUGCUGCAGAGUGCGAACAUGUUUUAUGCAGGAAAUGCAUCCAAACGGCCGUGGAAAAGUCCACAGUCUACAAAUUUAUAAUGUGCCCCGUAGAAGCGGGUUCGCCGCAGCAAUGUUCAGGACGCCUUAUGGAAGACGUAUACAAAAAGUGCGUUAGCCCAGAAGCACUUGCACACAUGAAAAACAUGAGGAACUGGUUCCCUGCUGAAUGUUUUAAAAAAAAGUGUCCCAAUCAAGGGAAGCCAGGUUCUCUACUCGUAAAGAGGGGAACAGAAUCUUAUGUCUGUCCACACUGCCUUAUCCGGAACUGCUGGGCGUGUCGAGCUAUCCACAACGACAUGACCUGUGGGGAAUACAUGGAGAAACUUGUGGCCGACAUGGACGCAGGGAAGCUCGAAGAUCCUCACGAGAAGGAAAAGCGAUAUCGGGAGCUCGUCUCCGUUUACGAGCAAGACGUUGUGACAACGACCCACGAAUUUGAAUGUGCCAUUUGUUUCGUGGACGUGGAACCUGGUAAAGGAAUUAUUCUCAAGAAUUGUCACCACAAGGUUUGCGAACAAUGCCUGGCCGACACUGCCAAGAAUUCUCCGAAAGCAGAAGUUCAAUGCCCUUGCCUCGAAAACGGUGAUCCCUGCCAGAUGUCCGUUUUAGACUGCGACCUUAGGGCGUGCCUGUCGAAGGAAGAAUACGACGCACUGCAAGACCGGAGCCUGCGCGAGGCCGAGAACAGGAGCAAAGAGCCGUCGUUCCAUUGCAAGACACCCGACUGCCGCGGCUGGUGCUUUCACGACCCAGACGUCGAGCUCUUCGAAUGCCCGCUAUGCCGAAAGCAGAACUGUCUCCGCUGCGAGGAAAUCCACGAGGGCAUGACAUGCGCCCAAUAUCAGGAGGACCUGAAGCGAAGGGCCGAUAAUGAUGCAGCGGCCAAGGCAUCACUCAACUUUCUCGAGGAAAUGCUCAGAACCCAGCAAGCGAUGCGAUGCCCUCAGUGCCGCAUUGUCAUCAUCAAGCGGGUCGGGUGUGACUUCAUGGUGUGCACCUCGUGCCAUACUCAGUUGUGCUGGGCCACCAAAGGAGCUCGAUGGGGCCCAAAUGGUGUCGGCGACACAAGCGGUGGUUGCAGAUGCGGCGUGGGCGGCGUAAAAUGCCACCCGACAUGCACGACUUGCCACUAGCGUCAAAAGGAAAGGCGGCAAGGAAUAUUCUACUUUCUGCUUUAUAUAAUGCAUUCAUAUUCAUUGCGAGAAAAUUCUCGAGCCUAAUCAUAGGAUGAAAUGCUGCAGGGAGCGGUGCUGCGCAACCGAAGGUUUGAUCCCUCCAGGUAUCUUGGUUGACGAGUACAACUUCAAGAAUACUCGCCAGUAAAUGUACUCGUAUACGGGCGCCUUUUCUUUUGUGCUUAAAAAUGGAUACUCUUAACAAAAAUGUAACACUUUGCUGGAUGCUGAUUUCAAAAAGCAACUGUGAGUAAAGAAAGAGACUCGAAAAUUUUCUAUUCGCGAGAGAAGGUUUCUUCCAUCUAUAAUAAAUUUAUUGGGUUCG